UACGAGUACCUCAAGCGUUAUCCGGAAUUACUGGGCGUAAAGGGUGUGUAGGCGGUUAUAUUAGUCGAAUGUCAAAGCCCAGGGCUCAACCCUGGUUCCGCGUUCGAAGCGGUAUAACUAGAGAAGGUGAGGGGUCUAGGGAACCCAUAGUGUAGGGGUGAAAUCCGUUGAUAUUAUGGGGAACACCGAAAGCGAAGGCACUAGACUGGCACAUUUCUGACGCUGAAACACGAAACCCUGGGUAGCGAAAGGG
rnacentral:misc_RNA from 1 species